rnacentral:tRNA from 1 species
AGGUAUUUUUUGACGGUUAUUCUUAUUCUCGUCAAAUAGUUAAGAAAAAUUUAAUUAUU